rnacentral:rRNA from 1 species
UACGGGGGGGGCAAGCGUUGUUCGGAAUUACUGGGCGUAAAGGGCUCGUAGGCGGCCCACUAAGUCAGAUGUGAAAUCCCCAGGCUCAACCUGGGAACUGCAUCUGAUACUGGUGGGCUUGAAUUCGGGAGAGGGAUGCAGAAUUCCAGGUGUAGCGGUGAAAUGCGUAGAUAUCUGGAGGAAUACCGGUGGCGAAGGCGGCAUCCUGGACCGACAUUGACGCUGAGGAGCGAAAGCUAGGGGAGCAAACGGGG